rnacentral:rRNA from 1 species
GAUGAACGCUAGCGGCAGGCCUAACACAUGCAAGUCGAGGGGUAACAUAGAAAAGCUUGCUUUUCUGAUGACGACCGGCGCACGGGUGCGUAACGCGUAUACAACCUACCUUUUAGCGGGGAAUAGCCCAGGGAAACUUGGAUUAAUGCCCCAUAGUAUUUAGACUUCUCCUGAAGUUUAUAUUAAACAUUUAUGGCUAUUAGAUGGGUAUGCGUCCUAUUAGUUAGUUGGUAAGGUAACGGCUUACCAAGGCAGCGAUAGGUAGGGGUCCUGAGAGGGAGAUCCCCACACUGGUACUGAGACACGGACCAGACUCCUACGGGAGGCAGCAGUGAGGAAUAUUGGACAAUGGGCGAGAGCCUGAUCCAGCCAUGCCGCGUGCAGGAAGACUGCCCUAUGGGUUGUAAACUGCUUUUACAGAGGAAGAACCACCCCCACGUGUGGGGGUUUGACGGUACUCUGCGAAUAAGGAUCGGCUAACUCCGUG